CUUACAGCCAACUUAUGCUUGAUCUGCAACGCAAUUGCGGUGCUACCGGAGGCCUGCAAAUUUAGCGACUCCCAAAUGUUAUAAUGCGGAGGGCUUCAUAUGGCUCCACGUUGACAUGAUUCGUUUGGUUGACGGACUGAGUUUGGGAAAGGCUGCCCUAGAAUCUUCAGACACAGAUUAAUACACAGAUCUGAACAGCUGCAUAAGAGGCUAUAAUGGGCCGGAGGGCACAGAGGAAUGGAGCAUUCUGAUCGGCACUUUCUGUCAGACCCUGUGUAUAUUAAUUUGGGAGUCUGUUCUUCAGGCUGUUUAGAACCUGGAUGGCCUGAUACCACAUGUUAUGGACACAUACUCUGGGUGAUACUGGCAGAGUGAUUGUAUGGACAGUUACAGCCCUAAGCCGACUCCCACUCCAAAUUAACUCUGCAUUUUUGUCUAGCGAGCAAAUGGAUCUGACAAGCAGAAGGGCCAUAUGUUGUCUAGGAGUGACAUGUGUAUGGACACACACUCUGAGAUACGGGGUGAUGUUACGGACACAGAAACCGUCAGUAUGAUACAGACAGUGACAGGGUGUUGAACUGCAGUACAACGUCUGGGCUGUUCCCUGGAUCCAUUGACCAGAACAGGGACUCCAGAAGGCACAGUUGUGAACCUGGACCGAGAAUGAACAGUUGCC
ensembl:lncRNA